rnacentral:rRNA from 1 species
CUGGCCCGUCUUGAAACACGGACCAAGGAGUCCAGCCUAUGUGCAAGUAGAGAGACUGUAAAUCUCGAUGCGUAACGAAAGUGAUCUCUGUAGCAGCAGAGGCCGCGUCAGCGAGCUCAGCAGAUAGGCUGGGACCCGAAAGAUGGUGAACUAUGCUUGGGAAAGGCGAAGCCAGGGGAAACUCUGGUGGAGGCUUGUAGAGGUACUGACGUGCAAAUCGUUCUUCUGACCUGAGUAUAGGGGCGAAAGACUUAUCGAACCAUCUAGUAGCUGGUUCCCUCCGAA